rnacentral:rRNA from 1 species
GAUGAACGCUGGCGGCGUGCCUAAUACAUGCAAGUCGAGCGAACAGACGAGGAGCUUGCUCCUCUGACGUUAGCGGCGGACGGGUGAGUAACACGUGGAUAACCUACCUAUAAGAUUGGGAUAACUUCGGGAAACCGGAGCUAAUACCGGAUAAUAUAUUGAACCGCAUGGUUCAAUAGUGAAAGACGGUUUUGCUGUCACUUAUAGAUGGAUCCGCGCCGCAUUAGCUAGUUGGUAAGGUAACGGCUUACCAAGGCAACGAUGCGUAGCCGACCUGAGAGGGUGAUCGGCCACACUGGAACUGAGACACGGUCCAGACUCCUACGGGAGGCAGCAGUAGGGAAUCGUCCGCAAUGGGCGAAAGCUUGACGGAGCAACGCCGCGUGAGUGAUGAAGGUCUUCGGAUCGUAAAACUCUGUUAUUAGGGAAGAACAAAUGUGUAAGUAACUAUGCACGUCUUGACGGUACCUAAUCAGAAAGCCACGGCUAACUACGUG